rnacentral:rRNA from 1 species
AGGAGAGUUUGAUCCUGGCUCAGGAUGAACGCUAGCUACAGGCUUAACACAUGCAAGUCGAGGGGUAACGACAGCGAAAGCUUGCUUUUGCUGGGCGACGACCGGCGCACGGGUGAGUAACGCGUAUCCAACCUGCCCAUAACUAAGGGAUAAUCCGUAGAAAUGCGGUCUAAUACCUUAUGUGUUCCGAUGAAGACAUCUGAAUUGGAAUAAAGAUUUAUCGGUUAUGGAUGGGGAUGCGUCUGAUUAGAUUGUUGGCGGGGCAACGGCCCACCAAGUCUGCGAUCAGUAGGGGUUCUGAGAGGAAGGUCCCCCACAUUGGAACUGAGACACGGUCCAAACUCCUACGGGAGGCAGCAGUGAGGAAUAUUGGUCAAUGGGCGAGAGCCUGAACCAGCCAAGUAGCGUGCAGGACGACGGCCCUAUGGGUUGUAAACUGCUUUUGUAUGGGAAUAAAGUGCUCCACGUGUGGAGUUUUGUAGGUACCAUACGAAUAAGGACCGGCUAAUUCCGUGCCAGCAGCCGCGGUAAUACGGAAGGUCCGGGCGUUAUCCGGAUUUAUUGGGUUUAAAGGGAGCGUAGGCCGUGGAUUAAGUGUGUUGUGAAAUGUAGGCGCUCAACGUCUGACUUGCAGCGCAUACUGGUCCACUUGAGUGCGCGCAACGCGGGCGGAAUUUGUCGUGUAGCGGUGAAAUGCUUAGAUAUGACGAAGAACCCCGAUUGCGAAGGCAGCUCGCGGGAGCGCAACUGACGCUGAAGCUCGAAAGUGCGGGUAUCGAACAGGAUUAGAUACCCUGGUAGUCCCCU